AUCUAAUUAACGACACCCCUAUUCAGCAGGAAGCAGUUUGGAGAAAAGAAACUACGCCCAUGCUCCCAAAUAUUGUUUAUAAAUGUUCUUUUACAUUUAAAGGGGGAUAUGAUAUAGAUAUGAAUAAUUUGCAUUGGUAUGGAUUUUAUGGUCAAUUUUGUUAUAUGUAUAUGUAUUUUUGAACUUGAUUAAGGUAUUGUGAUUGUGUAGUUCAUUUAAAAAUGUAAUGUAUAAUUAGGAAAUAUAGGUUGUUAAUGGAUAAUCAUCGCUAAUACUUAAGCUUGUAGUCAUGUUAGUUAGAUUUUCUAGAUAUAUAGAGAGAUAUUUUAGUUAGAUAGGCAUUCUUCAUAUCUUUCAAAGGCUGCAGAAUAUGGCAUUUAAGAUAUUUUAAUAACUUAGGGUUUUUCAUGACAAUGAGACACAUUUGCUCCUGGCAGCACCAAUCUAUUUCAAGAGGAAGAUGGGCAUCGAAGAGAAUCCUUAUGGAGUUUGAUAGCCAUUUGGGCAAGAAACUGCUCUUGCCUGGACUGUUGCAUAAACUGGACACAGAGAACCCGCAGAGAGAGGACUGCUGAACUUGCCUAAAGGUGAGAUGACCUUUUGGGGUUCCUGCUUCAUGAAAGAGUCUGUGAGACAUUCUGCAGGACACAGCAAAAAGUGACUGAACUGUCUUUGGAAUUUCUUGCUUGAUGAGAAUGUCUGCUGGAUACUAUGGGCCUGUAGGCCGAAGAUGGAUGCCCCAACGGUACAGAGGAACUUUGGGUGACUGUCCAGGCAGCGAGAUGUCUCUGUCAUUUCUAGAGUUUUCUUAUUUCUUGUUUGAUAGGUAAUAUUAUAUCCUUCUGGAGUCUUUGAUGGAGUUGAAGAAUGGUUAGUUAUAGUUUUCCUUAGUUAUGAUAAGAGAUAAAAUAGAUAUAAAUAUUGUAACUGUAAUUCUUACUUGAUAACUGUUUUGUUAUAUGUAAUUUUACUAUGUUAAAGUUAAAGCCUUUCUUUUUUGUUUAAACAGAAAAAGGGGAAAUGAUGUGGGAGUGAUUUCUUAUUAAUAAAGAAACUGCCUUGGCCCAUUUUAUUGGAUAGAAAAUUAGGUAGGCGGAGUAGACAGAGGAGAAUGCUGGGAAAAAGAAGCUGUGUGAGGAGUCGCCAUGGUUCUCCCGUUCCAGACAGACGCAGGUUAAGAUCCUCCCUGGUAAGCCAGCUCGUGGGCUACACAGAAUAUUAGAAAUGGGUUAGAACAAUAUGUAAGAGCUAGCCAUAAGGAACUGGAACUAUCCGGGCCAGGCAGUGUUUGAAAGAA